UCCCCACGGACAAGAGGAGCCUAGUGGGCUAUAGCCCAUGGGGGUCACAAAGAGUCAGACACAACUCAGUAACUAAGUACGGCACUGAUAGAUGAACAACAUGGAUAAAUCUAAAAAAAUUUGUUAUGUUGGUUUAUUUCUUUUUCUGGAGCAAUGGACCAAAAAAAGUAGAAUGACAAAGGCAGACAGAUCUUCCAUUAGUCCAAUCCUCCUCAUCCUUCCUUUUGAGCCCUCUUGGCUUCACCAUUUUAUACUUCCAGUUUCCUCCUUUUGGUUAUACCUAGUGCAAAGUAGGGCUUGCACUCACCACCAAUAAAUGAAAGGGAAUGUAAAUGGGCAUAUACUCAAGGCUGAGUGACAAUUAUGUUAUAUGACAGCAAGUUGUAUUGUUUAUGUCUUCCCAUAAUUUUGUUAUAAUUAGAUGCAGAAUAUUCAUCAAUCCUUAAUGGGCUCCUAAUAGCCUAAGGUUACUUGGGGAAGUCUCUCUCAUUUUGUAUCCACUGUGUGCCUAGGGUCCAUGUGUAGGAGUUGAAAUGUCUCUGUGGUUAUUUUGUAGCAUAUCUGUGAGCUUUCCUGGGUGUGUCUGGGCUGGAGUUUAGAGAUCAGAUUGCAUCCCUUUCAGCCAGGCUGCCCCUCCAGUUGCUCAUGUCUAACUUCCUACCUAUUACGUUGAAUAAAAGUAGCCUUGUGUGAGCAUUUGUUUAAGUAAAAUUAAUAUAAAGAUUAAUAAUAUCUGUGGUGACAGAAGAUAAAAAAAUGUUUACUAUGGGUUGGAGUUAUAGUUACAUGGUUGCACAUAUUAUAAAAAUUCAUUGAGUUGCACAUCUGAUUUGUGCAUUUUACUAAUAAAAAGGCAUUUUUAAAAAGUAAAUAAAAUUAAUAGUACUCUGAGGCUUAUGGUGUGAUAAACACCAGGCCUCAGUUUUCCCUUUUGUUAUCAAUAUCUAUUUCUCAGAGGCAACCAUUUUAACUUUUGUUUACUUUUUUACUAACCUCCACAUUUAAAAAUAACAUGUUAACGCUAACAUUUCUUGAAUUUUUCAAGUAUAGAUAUAUUACUUAUUGACUUCUUACUAUGAAAAAUAAACUUUUAAUCCUUUUAAAUCACUACUAGAAUUAGCCACACCAGGGUUUAGAACAUAUUUUAAACUUCCUGAGUCACUAGGUCCAACAGCAAUGAAAGACCCACCAAAACACAAAAAUAAGACUCUGGUCAUUCAUACUUUCCCUGCUUGUAUAAGCAGAUGACAUGUUUCUAAUAAGACUCCAAACAUUUCCCACACCUAGGGCCUCAAGGUAUUCCUGCAUUUUCCAGUUGCUCUACAUUUUAGUUUCAGAAGCAUCACUUCAUAUAGUAUAUGGAAUAGCAUAUUCUCAAAUAUUUUGGCCUCAUGACUCCUUUUAUAUUCUUAAAAACUAGUGAGGACUCCAAAGAGUUUGUUUACAUGGGUCAUAUCCUACAAGAUUUGCUGUGUUCGAAAUUAAAACUGAGGAAUUAAAGUUUUUCUUUAAAAUAACAGCAAGGUACCCACUACAUGUUAGGUAACAUUUUAUGUUACUUUAAUAUUUUAUGAAGUUUAUCUGUAUUUUCAAAAAAAGUAAAAGGGGUAGAAUCAUUUCACAUUUCUGCAAAUCUCUUUAAUGUCUGACUUAAUAGAAGGUGGCUUGAUUCUCCUAUCUGCUAUUUCACUCAGUAUAACACUUCUGCUUAUACUGACCCUUCUGCUGGAAGUACACUUCCUACUACUCUGCACUUACCUAAACUCUGUCCAUCCUUCAAGGUCUGACUCAGAUUUCACUUUAAUCAGAAAGCCUUCUCUAGGAAUCCAAAAAUGAGGUGUGCAAAACAGCGAAAAUGAGAGGACGGUAUAGAAGAACAUGACUUAUUUCAAGUUCAUGUUGGAAAGAUGACCUACUUCCUUACCCUCCCAAGAACCCACUUAAAUGACGGAGUUCUCGGAUCCCUCAAACGGUUUUCCGCCUCCUCCACCUGGGGUCCUGAGUUCCUUCCCAGGCGCCAACCUCAGUGCUUCUGGAUCCGGGAAGACCGGCCCCUUUCCUCGCGCUCUCGCGCGUCUCGGCCACUUCCAGUAGCUAACGGUUCCAGAGCUCCCGGGCCGGCCUUUGCGGCCGGGUAAACGGCGCUGUGAGCUGGGCCCUGCGCCAGGGGCUGGAAAGCACCGGGAGACGAGGGCUGGCGGGAGCCGGGAGAGACUCACCUCACGCCAGGAGGAACAGGUGCGACAGUUAGCGUCCUUUGGGGCGGCCGAACGAAGACUGACCGACCAAUCGACGCGCCGCUGCUUUCAGCCACGCACUUCCGGGCCGCUCUAGGAAGCCUCGCCUCGGUGGAGCUAAUCCUAGCUCGUGGAGGACCCCACUUGUGAACAUCUGACUUAUGGGACUUAAGCGCUCGCUGAUGUUUUCUUUGCCAUUUUUUUUAAGUUCCCUCUCAAAUUUUUUGACUCAAUUAUUAAAUAAUAUGAAUAUGUAAUGCA